rnacentral:rRNA from 1 species
AGUCGAACGAGGUGGCCCACAGAAUUUGAUAGAAACUUUGAGAGCUUGCUCGAGAAGUGGAAAGAGAAGGACGUGGAAUUUCCACCUAGUGGCAAACGGGUGAGUAACACGUGGGUUACCUACCUCUUAGAUGGGGAUACCAAUUGGAAACGAUUGUUAAUACCGAAUGUGAUCUACGGAUUAAAGGAAGCCUUUAAAGCUUCGCUAAGAGAUGGGCCUGCGGUGCAUUAGAUAGUUGGUGGGGUAAGAGCCUACCAAGUCAACGAUGCAUAGCUGAACUGAGAGGUUGAUCGGCCACACUGGUACUGAGACACGGACCAGACUCCUACGGGAGGCAGCAGUGAGGAAUAUUGGUCAAUGGGCGAGAGCCUGAACCAGCCAAGUCGCGUGAGGGAUGACUGCCCUAUGGGUUGUAAACCUCUUUUGUAUGGGGGGAAUAAGCUUUACCAGUAGAGUGAUGACAGUACCAUACGAAUAAACAUCGGCUAACUCCGUGCCAGCAGCCGCGGUAAUUCGGAAGAUGCGAGCGUUAUCCGG